GCCUCUCUAACACCGUUAGUUCUACAGCUUCCAUAGUGGUCCAUUUUCUUUAUCCUCCUAUUUCUUGAAGGAUUCUUGAAGCUACUCAACAAACUUCAUGGCAUAUAUGGCAAUGUACGCCGACCACAUCCAAGAACAGUACAGCCACUCCUCCCAAACAGUCAAUCAUUAGAGGAUGAAGAUGGAUUCAGAAGAUUAUGUCUUACCUUAAUUUAGGGUUUUGAAGCUUCUGUGUCUAGGGAAAGCUAAGUGCAAUGCUGACAAGUGCUUGAGGAGCUUGAUAAUGUGAGCAGACGGCUAUGUUAUUACAUUGUGCGGUUCAUGUUUGUUGAAGUUCUUCAUGAUUCCAAUUCCAAGGGGCCAGCAAUCCAUCCGCUCCUAAUGAUUUUUAUGACAGGAAGACAUUAGUGAACCUAGCAAGGAAUGGCAGAUCAGGGAUUGGAAAUUAAUGUUGCUUUUGCUUCCUUCAGUUGAGAUUCUAAAUAUAGAACCAACAUGUUUGUUGACUUUAUGUUAUUAAUCUUCAUAAUGUUUGCUCUUCUCAAGUGUAUCUGAACAUUUCUAUGCUAAAGUGUCUUGCAUUCCUUUCAUUGAACCUUU